GGUAUAUGAUUUACUAUAUAUAUAGAUAAACAUGUACAAGUUGUUUCAUGCUUUCAAGUAGCUAAUUAAUAAGAUGAAGGCCUUUCAUUGUGUUCUGAUUAUUCUCCUUGUUUUCUCUAUUGGCAUUGGAAAUGAAAGGCUAAUGAAAGUAACAGAGGCAGCCUCAAACCAUUGUUCACAGAUACAUCCAAAUGCGCAAUGUGUAGGACGUCAGUGCGAAGAUUCAUGCAAAAAACAAUAUGGAAAUACAGCAAGUGGAUUUUGCGUUGGCGACAAAUGUCUGUGUGUACACUCACUUCCAUGUUAGGAUUUGUAGUCCUAUGUUUGCAACAUGUUCCCUUACAAUACAUGUUUGAAUAAGAGAAAAUGAAAAGCUUAAUAUAUAUAAAUAAAUGAUGUUUCUAUGAAUAUCAAUUUUAUUUACUUUUC